UACCAUUGGUAAAAAGUUUGAAAUGUCAGUAUUUUGUACAGUUUUUAAUAGUGUGAUGAUUGUAAAGAACAACUGUAGCAUUAGUGUUGGUAAUAAAUCUAUUAAUGGCUGUUUUCUGGUUUGGAGACUGGUCUACGCCCGUUUCCGGAUCAAAACAAAGAUGGCAGCCCAAUGCUUACCCGGAUAAGAAACUGACACAAUUUUGAAAUCAGGUUAAGCGGGUGCUUUUAUUUUUGUCAUCUAGUGGACAGAAUAUUUUUUCAUCCAAAUGAUGAGAAGAGUCUUUGAGGUUUCUGGAAGUAGAACAACGUGGUCACCAUGGAACUGCAACACAUGACUGUCAUUAAAUUACAUCAAUGCAGACAUAAUGCGCUUCGGGUUUUACCAGUUGAUGGCAGCAGGAUUCUUCUACAAACUGCUCAGUGAGCUGUGGAGGGACUGUGAAUACAGAUGGCUCACAAAGGGUGUAGUGACGACGGUAAACACACUGCAAAUAAAGCGUGUAUUUCUAUGUUUAUUGUCAGUACAUGGUGAAACUCUUGUUUUUAAUUGUUGAAUUUCAAACAUGAAUGCCACAACAACCGCAUACAAUUAGCCUACAAUAUUUUUGCACAUUUGAGGGUUCAGCAAUAUAUAUAUAAAAUAAAAUAUGAAUAAACUUUAAUGUAUAAAUAGUGAUGAUUUCUACUGCUCUCCUUAUUCUGCUCAUAAGGACCAA